rnacentral:rRNA from 1 species
UACGUAGGGGGCUAGCGUUGUCCGGAAUCAUUGGGCGUAAAGAGCGUGUAGGCGGCCCGGUAAGUCCGCUGUGAAAGUCGGGGGCUCAACCCUCGAAUGCCGGUGGAUACUGUCGGGCUAGAGUGCGGAAGAGGCGAGUGGAAUUCCUGGUGUAGCGGUGAAAUGCGCGGAUAUCAGGAGGAACACCGAUUGCGAAGGCAGCUCGCUGGGACGUUACUGACGCUGAGACGCGAAAGCGUGGGGAGCAAACAGG